AUUGAACGCUGGCGGCAUGCCUUACACAUGCAAGUCGAACGGUAACAGGUCUUCGGAUGCUGACGAGUGGCGAACGGGUGAGUAAUACAUCGGAACGUGCCUAGUAGUGGGGGAUAACUACUCGAAAGAGUGGCUAAUACCGCAUGAGAUCUACGGAUGAAAGCAGGGGAUCGCAAGACCUUGUGCUACUAGAGCGGCCGAUGGCAGAUUAGGUAGUUGGUGGGAUAAAAGCUUACCAAGCCGACGAUCUGUAGCUGGUCUGAGAGGACGAUCAGCCACACUGGGACUGAGACACGGCCCAGACUCCUACGGGAGGCAGCAGUGGGGAAUUUUGGACAAUGGGCGCAAGCCUGAUCCAGCAAUGCCGCGUGCAGGGUGAAGGCCUUCGGGUUGUAAACUGCUUUUGUACGGGACGAAAAGCCCUGGGUUAAUACCCUGGGGUCAUGACGGUACCGUAAGAAUAAGCACCGGCUAACUACGUGCCAGCCGCCGCGGUAAUAC
rnacentral:rRNA from 1 species